AGAUCCUGUACCCUUUAGAGCGUCUUACAAAUAAUUUCUUGGUUAAAAUUGUGAAUGCUCCUCAGCUGUUUAAAAUGUAAAUGAUUGGUUCCUUUGAAAGUUUAGUUUUGUGUGAUUUAAGUGUUUACUUAAUGAGAGUAACAGUUUCAGCCAGACAUAGUGGCAACCACGUAUCUUCCCAGUGAUGCCGAAGGCUGAGGCAGGAGGAUCUCAAGUUUGAGGCCAGCCUGUGCAACUUGAGCAAGGCCUAAGCAAUUUAUUGAGACCUUGUCUCAAAAGUUUAAAAAUUUUGAAAAGUGGUAGUGGAUAGCUCAGUAGUAAAGUGCCCCUGGAUUCUGU
rnacentral:lncRNA from 1 species